CCUACGGGUGGCAGCAGUGGGGAAUAUUGCACAAUGGGGGAAACCCUGAUGCAGCGACGCCGCGUGAGUGAAGAAGUAAUUCGUUACGUAAAGCUCUAUCAGCAGGGAAGAAACACUGACCUUACGGUCAGCAGACGGUACCUGAGUAAGAAGCCCCGGCUAACUACGUGCCAGCUGCCGCGGUAAUACGUAGGGGGCAAGCGUUAUCCGUAUUUACUGGGUGUAAAGGGAGCGUAGACGGUGCGCCAAGUCUGGCGUGAAAUGCCGGAGCUUAACUGCGGAACUGCUUUGGAAACUGGCGAACUAGAGUGCGGGAGGGGUAAGCGGAAUUCCUAGUGUAGCGGUGAAAUGCGUAGAUAUUAGGAGGAACACCGGUGGCGAAGGCGGCUUACUGGACCGUAACUGACGUUGAGGCUCGAAAGCGUGGGGAGCAAACAGGAUUAGAUACCCUAGUAGUC
rnacentral:rRNA from 1 species